GACGAACGCUGGCGGCGUGCUUAACACAUGCAAGUCGAGCGGAAAGGCCACUUCGGUGGUACUCGAGCGGCGAACGGGUGAGUAACACGUGAGUAAUCUGCCCCUAGCUUUGGGAUAGCCACCGGAAACGGUGAUUAAUACCGGAUACGACCACUUCUCGCAUGGGAUGGUGGUGGAAAGUUUUUUCGGCCAGGGAUGUGCUCGCGGCCUAUCAGCUUGAUGGUGAGGUAAUGGCUCACCAUGGCUUCGACGGGUAGCCGGCCUGGGAGGGGGACCGGUAACACUGGGACUGAGACACUGCCCAGACUCCUACGGGAGGCAGCAGUGGGGAAUAUUGGACAAGGGGCGGAAGCCUGAUCCAGCAACGCCGCGUGAGGGAUGACGGCCUUCGGGUUGUAAACCUCUUUCAGCAGGGACGAAGCGCAAGUGACGGUACCUGCAGAAGAAGCACCGGCCAACUACGUGCCAGCAGCCGCCGUAA
rnacentral:rRNA from 1 species